GUGGGGAAUAUUGGACAAUGGGCGAAAGCCUGAUCCAGCCAUGCCGCGUGUGUGAAGAAGGUCUUCGGAUUGUAAAGCACUUUAAGUUGGGAGGAAGGGCAGUAAGUUAAUACCUUGCUGUUUUGACGUUACCGACAGAAUAAGCACCGGCUAACUUCGUGCCAGCAGCCGCGGUAAUACGAAGGGUGCAAGCGUUAAUCGGAAUUACUGGGCGUAAAGCGCGCGUAGGUGGUUUUGUAAGUUGGAGGUGAAAUCCCCGGGCUCGACCUGGGAACUGCCUCCAAAACUGCAUGACUAGAGUACGGUAGAGGGUAGUGGAAUGUCCUGGGUAGCGGUGAAAUGCGUAGAUAUAGGAAGGAACACCAGUGGCGAAGGCGGCCACCUGGACCAGCACUGACACUGAGGCACGAAAGCGUGGGGAGCAAACAGGAUUAGAAACCCUGGUAGUCC
rnacentral:rRNA from 1 species